ACGCGUAGGAAUCUACCUAGUAGAAGGGGAUAGCCCGGGGAAACCCGGAUUAAUACCGUAUACCUCCUUCGGGAGAAAGAAGGCCUCUCUUUGAAGCUUUCGCUAUUAGAUGAGCCUGCGUAAGAUUAGCUUGUUGGUGAGGUAAAGGCUCACCAAGGCGACGAUCUUUAGCUGGUCUGAGAGGACGAUCAGCCACAUUGGGACUGAGACACGGCCCAGACUCCUACGGGAGGCAGCAGUGGGGAAUAUUGGACAAUGGGCGCAAGCCUGAUCCAGCCAUACCGCGUGUGUGAAGAAGGCCUUCGGGUUGUAAAGCACUUUAAGCAGGGAGAACAAGUUAUAAGUUAAUACCUUAUAACCGUGAUGUUACCUGCAGAAUAAGCACCGGCU
rnacentral:rRNA from 1 species